rnacentral:rRNA from 1 species
AGUGAACGCUGGCGGUAGGCCUAACACAUGCAAGUCGAACGGCAGCACAGUAAGAGCUUGCUCUUACGGGUGGCGAGUGGCGGACGGGUGAGGAAUACAUCGGAAUCUACUUUUUCGUGGGGGAUAACGUAGGGAAACUUACGCUAAUACCGCAUACGACCUACGGGUGAAAGCAGGGGAUCUUCGGACCUUGCGCGAUUGAAUGAGCCGAUGUCGGAUUAGCUAGUUGGCGGGGUAAAGGCACACCAAGGCGACGAUCCGUAGCUGGUCUGAGAGGAUGAUCAGCCACACUGGAACUGAGACACGGUCCAGACUCCUACGGGAGGCAGCAGUGGGGAAUAUUGGACAAUGGGCGCAAGCCUGAUCCAGCCAUACCGCGUGGGUGAAGAAGGCCUUCGGGUUGUAAAGCCCUUUUGUUGGGAAAGAAAAUCAGCAGGUUAAUACCCCGCUGUUCUGACGGUACCCAAAGAAUAAGCACCGGCUAACUUCGUG